UGAAGACAUUCUGAAGCAAGAUGCAAGCACUGAAAACGAAGGAAUAGAUUAUCCAAAACACCAUGCAUCAAAGCAGUACCGCGGAUUCAAACAUAAGUAAUCCACAUCAGCUGUCGUGAAUCGCGUGACAAAUACGUGUUGAACAUGCAUACGAUAAGAGCACGAGCCCAUAGGGGGAAGGUGGGAGACCUAAACAAACCAACAGCCGUGCUGCAGAGCACAAAGCCAGCUGCAGACAGCGCAGGGACAGGGCAGUGCAAAACACUACACUGCAGCAAGCCUGCGCUCUGGCAGGCCAUUCAUCUUCUGCCUUUGUUAUUGGGAAAUUGCUUCCGAGAAAGCGGCUGCUGCCCUGAACAGAAUACCCACACACUGCCCAGCUUUGUUGCAGAGCAAGCACGGAUUCAAUUGGAACAAGCCAGCAUUUAUGAGGAGCAGUGGAGGGGGCACUGGGUGUAACGCUUCUGUUGGUGUCCUUGAAGCCAAGCUUCAAGUUUCAAAACACAAAUCAAACCCUUGUGGUGGGCCAGCAAGAAAACACCUUCUCCACUGCUCGAUGCUUCCCGUGCUGAGGCUGUGAUGCUCUCCUGAAGGACUCGGGAAGUUGUAUGAAACCCUGCAGCUCCACCUACUUAGAGGCACUUAGUCUUAUUCCAAGAGACCAAGUGGGAGCUGCUAGCAUCCUGCUCCACUGCAGAGCAGUAACUGCCUUCCAUGACAACGUGCACCCUCAACCACUUGUCUCCCUUUUUUCCAGCACAAUGUUGUGGGACACUGAACAAACAUGUGAGCCCCGCUGCACACCCUGCACUGCAGAGUUCAUCUUUGGCCAAGGCUGUUCUGCUGGCUCACGUGCUUAGGUUGGAUCUUUCCAACUUUUGGAUCUUUCCGCUUUCCCAUUCUUUUGGCUUUCUAAAUGCGCGUCUGAUCUUGCUGCGUCAAACGAUCCAGACAUCAAAUUCAAUUUCUUCAGCGAGAGCUUUGAUAAAUUAUGCAGAGAAAGAUCCACGUUCAAAUGCCGAUACGCUCACUGGGAACUCAAACCACAGGUUUGAAUCAACGUUUUGCAUUUAAUCUUUUGAGAGGAAUACUUAGCAGAUUAAAGCAAAUCUGCCCCUCUCUAUUUCAGGCCACAAUUACUGUAAGGCGACCAGGGUAAGAAGUCAGCCAGCCCGCACCCAACGCCUGGCAUCAGUGACUUAGUGUAAUUCACGCCGACUGCUCUAGGACCACUUCUGGCAAGUUAUGGGUCCCAAUAUGAAUGGGAAAAGAUUAAACACCCAUAAAAAAAAAAAAUCUGCUAAGACCCAGCAAUGGGCCACACCAAGUCCAGAACCAUAGAGGGAAUUUGGUGAUUAAAAGCUUUAUGCUGGAGGCCACCAUAGGUCUAAGCAGAGACCAGCAUCUGUUGUGAAUAUGCACCCCAAAUCCUCUUGAAAUCUAACAUGAGUGCAUGUUUAUUGUAACAGAUGGCACGGGCAACAUUUUUCUUUUUGUUGCUGUCACUUCACACUACGCAAUGACAUCAUAAUUAGUGGGAUUCAUCAACCCAAAAUCCAAAACAAAAGGGAUGAGGCUUUUUGGCAGGGAGCAGGGGCUAAAAAUAAUGUAAAAACCUUUAAAGAGAAGCCCAAAGAUUAAAAAUGCAAACGUUUGGCUUUUGAUUUAAGCACCUCCGUUUCCAAGUUAACGGAGGGCAACUCCCAGAAAAUCCCAAGCAGUUCACCCAACCUCCUGCCCAUCCCUGCAAGAACAGCACCAGGAGAUGAUGUCUGAGCAGGGCUUCAAGGCAGCAGACUGAACACACCAAGCACAGCAGCUGCGUGAGGAAACACGAGCCCAUGAGAGCAGAGAGUGAACGGAAUAACACAACUUUCCCCGCUGCAAGAAUGACAAGCCCACCGGCCAGCAGCUCCGAACACAGCACUCUCAAAACCACCUCCUCAGCAGCCAACGUUUGCUGGUUGCAAAAGCAGACCUAAAUGAGCAGGAGGAACCACGGCCCCAGUCGUCUCCGGUUGUGUGCGCAUCUCUCUCCACGUCCUUGACCUGAAUCAGGCCAUGCUUCUGACUGGCGUAAUUUUGUUAGAGAGCUUACCGUAUGAAAUUACCUAAAUGCAUCCCUGUCACGGAGCCAAAGCCUGGAAUCCCAGCGCCGAGCGCGGUUAUCUCCCCCAGCACACCUCCGCCUACAUGAUGAGUCACGCUGCAAAGAGCCGAGCCCGCGCUCUGCCCAGCUUCUAUGGUGCACAGAGCUCCACCAAGCCACCCAGCAAAGGACGGGCUCCAUCAUCUCUGCUGUUAUUUUUUUUUUUUUUGCAUUGCAUUUAAACGACGCAGGCAAAUUUUAAGCUCUUUGUGUUUGGCGACUUGGAAAAAAAAAAAAAAACCAAAAAAAACUCCAAGUCAUCAUUUCAUAACGAUUUUCAGUUAGUCUCGAAACGCAGCGAGGCCAUCCAAGCCAAACUGUUAUCGAUUCCGUCUCCUGGGUAAAGCCCUCCAAAGCUGCACGGAACAGCAUCCUCACAGCCCCUGCAAAGCAGAGGGCUCGCCAGCGGGCAGCGUGCUGCACAGCUCAUCUCUGUAGGGAGUGAGGGAUGGCCCCAGCCCCCCGGCACGACCCUGUGCGAGUGCCCCCAAAAUAAGGAGAGUAUUCUUCACCCCACUGGUGACACAGAGCACCCCCGGAACGCUGGGCCGUAAGCAGCUUAGGGGCACGUGCUUGUGGUCAGGUGGGCACCUGGCUGUGCAAAGCCAGGCUGUGUUCUGCUGCUGGUGAGAUCAGCUUACCACCGCCUGCAGAAGAUUAGGAUUUCCAUCGUUUGUCUCAAGUCGGAGGUUUUGCAAACGCAGAUAAGUUAAAGAUCAGCCCCACGAGACCGCAGAGCAAGCAGCAGAGCCACGAAAGAAAGUCAGCUGCACUUCUGUUAUCUCUUUCCUAUGGGAUUUUUCAGGAAUUUGGUCAGGAAUGUACACUCGUCCCAGCUGAGGGGACAGCAAGCCUACUGCCAAAUGAGUUAAAAAAAAAAAUUGUUAUCCACACACAGGAUUUUCACGCGGAUUUGGUCAUUUACCUCUGCAGGAAUUCAUAAAUGACAAGUGCAACAAAACAAGAACCAUGAGCUAUUUCUCCUGAGAUCCCCAACCCCAACCCUCCAGCCUGCAGCCUGCCCUGUCCCAGUGACCUCUCAGCCCACUGCUCCCAGCACGGAGCCAUCAGAUCUCCUGAACGAGACCAAUUCCAUAGGUGCCAUCCUGGGUGAAGCACAGUAAAGAGGAGCCCCCCAACAACUUAUCCCAUUCAUUAGGUAAAUAUAUACAUGGAAGAGUUACUUGGAGACUCUACACAAUGCUUUCAAGCCGUUGUCACUCUUCACAGACCUGAGAUUUAGUGGCACCUACAGGAAAGCGUUGAAAAUGGAAAUUCAGAAGUGGAAAUACUAAAUGCAUACAGGCGACGUGCCUUAAAGGCUCCAUUACGGGUAAAACCAGAGAUAGGAAACACCAUUAUGAGUCCAGACAACACUUUCUGAGAGAAAAGGGGCAACCUCACAAGUUCAAGCACAGUUCUGAUGCAGAAGCCUCACCCAAAUGGUUUAUGGCCAUGGCAAGCAUUGAAGUUCUCCAAUUAAGAGCCAACAUCAUCUUAAAUUCACAAUGGUUCAGAGGUGCUGACUGCAUGAGCUAAAUAAUAACAGAAAUCAAUGACGCUCAGCUUUACUGCACGUAAGCAGCACGAGAGCAAGCAGCUGAAAAACGCCAUCAAUUGACACAACCUCAAGCAGUUAACAAAAAGAGUGUGAGAUGCCAAAGAGCACGAAUGUAAAGGCCGCCUUGUCCCAACACAAAAGGGUUUGGGGAGAGCAUACGCCUCGCGUUUCCAACUGGAGAACAAGGUUACGGUUUAAGCGCAGUUGUAGAAGCAGACGCCGCAGUCAAAAUAACUUACGUUUCCAAGAUUGAGUCCUCACGCCUCCCAAAGACACACACAAUGGGAAAAAGCAAUGGCCAAAUUUUUACCAGCACCGUCGAGGGAGAAGCACAGCACGUACAGGACAGACACUGAAUUGCUUCUUCCUGCACUACACGGCGCUGGAGAGGGGCAACGUGCCAUAAUAAAGCCCAAAUGCAGCCCAAGCCACCUGUACGAUGGAUUUCAAAUAGCUCUCGCGUUGCAAUGGACGUGAUUAACAACAAGAAGUCUAACCCAAGGUAGAGAGAUACCAGUGCCUAAUUAACACUGAAUAGGUCACAGACACCACGCCCUCACAGGUGAGAUUUGGGAGAGCUGCAGCCUUGUGCAAAGUGCAGAGCUCACCUCCACGGAGCAGCCCAAGGCAGCGCAGCCCCACAGCCUCCCAGCAGCAGGCGUCCAUCACUGUCUGCUUCCUUAUACACAUCUCUGCUUCAGCACAGGUUGUGCAGAGGCUCAGAUGAGGCGUUGCAAAUAACUGCUUUCACACAAACGCAUUUUUCCUAAUGUUUCCCGGGAAGUGAAGCUUUGGGAACUGAAAGCAAAGCAAAGGCCACGCUCAGGACUGGAAUUUUCCUGAGCUGUUUCUCCUCAGGACUUGAACACAGAAGUGGAAAUUUCCCCUAGGUGGAGUUCUUUGUUCAAUGCAGCAGGCAAUUACAAGUCCCUAAGGUCUGCAGAAAUGGCACAAGGCUGAUAUUUUCGUUAGUGAGAAUUUAAGCAUACCACACAAAAACAACAGCAACGCAAACUGCACAAUCCCGAUCCAAGAAUGAACCUUGUUUUCCUCACCCCAAACCUUGGUUACCUGAGACAGAUGGGUAACAGAAGCAUUCAGGAGAGCUCUGGAAGAGGGCCACUAAAACCAAACGCUAUUAAGAUGAAAACCAAAAGCAGCAUCAAGUCUGCAUUGCCUCAGAUUCGAUUACACACAAAGGUCAAGCGAUAAAAAAGAAACUUUGCAUCCUUAAAGGCCCCGGGGACACAGCGCGAGCAGUUUAUCGUCGGAACACAGAUCAAAUUAGAAUAGAUUUAUUUCCUUUUUUUCAGUCGGCGUCUGCGUCCUAUUUGAAGUUCUCUCAGAUUUCACGAGCAGAACGCAGCAGCCCCCAGUUCAGACACAACCCCAGGACACGUUACCCCGCAAAGACAAAAACACGAUUCGGGCGUCCGCGUUUUCUCUGAGCUCGUAUAUUCCAACUCAUUUGCACGGAGACUGUCAGAGGUUAUCUGGCAGCAACACCAUCUGAAAGGAGGGCCGACACCAGCCAGGAGCCCUGGGGAAUGCCCUAUUCAAAGGCUCAGAUGCCAGUAAUAAAUAAAUAAAUAAGCCUGCCACUCCUCUUCCUCCAUCCAGGGGAGAAAGAAAAACAAAUUGUGGUCGAUAAGCGGAUUAGUGGGUGUUCCGGGGACAGGGACUGCUAGCUAAGAUAAUCAAGCAAGAGAAAAUCCACCUAAUGGGACAGUGCCAAUUCCACCGAACUGAUAAACGUGCCCACCGCUACGCGUUGGCCUUCACUCUGGAAUGCUUUCAAAUGUCCUCUUUAUUAAAAAUAAAAAUCAAUCAACCCCCAUAUUUUUCGUUACAUUGCCUGCUAUCCGCUAGCAAAGAUGAUAAAAACAGCAGCCACCAUUUCACUUCCUAAGCUCUGCAUCCAGCCACAAUUCCGGAGACAAUUUGGCAGCAAGACCGACCUGCAGUUCCCCGCUGACAAGGCAAUGGUGGAGAAUGCAGCAAAAAAAAAAAAAA